rnacentral:misc_RNA from 1 species
GAUGAAGAACGUAGCGAAAUGCGAUACGUAAUGUGAAUUGCAGAAUUCAGUGAAUCAUCGAAUCUUUGAACGCAUAUUGCGCUCUUUGGUAUUCCGAAGAGCAUGCUUGUUUGAGCAUCAGUAAACACCUCAACCUCUUCUUGAUUUUUCAAAAGGAGGGUGGACUUGAGCUAUCCCAACAACCUUUACCGGUCGGCGGGCGGCUUGAAAUGCAGGUGCAGCUGGACUUUUAUCUGAGCUAAAAGCAUAUCUAUUUAGUCCUCGUCAAACAGGAUUAUUACUUUUGCUGCAGCUAACAUAAAGGAUAAUUGUCCUCUUUGCUGACUGAUGCAGGAUUUUACGACACUUUAUGUGUUGUUCAACUCGAUCUCAAAUCAAGUAAGACUACCCGCUGAACUUAAGCAUAUCAAAAGCGGAGGA